AAGUCACCUGUGUUUAAAUCUACAAGUCCACUUAUUUCACUCUACGGUCACCUUCCACUCGCCCUACUCACUCUGAGUUUCUUAUGGUCAGGGCUAUGCCUGGCUUUUCUUUGAAUUCCCCAAGUACCCAGCACAAAAAUGCUAUAGUAAAGGAAACAAGGGUGACAACCUUCCUUAGACUCCCGGGCCCCAGGUCUUCCAGAUAUCAAGACGUUUCUCCGCUGAAAUGCAUAGAAUCUAAGAUAACAAGGACAUUAGUCAUGAUUUAGUUAUAUUCUACCAUCAGGAUGAGCAGAUUUCUCAGUCCUACGUGACUCAUCCUUUAAAUUGGGGUGGUUUGGAUGUCGUAAAGCCCUCUGCCCAAGGAGGCCCUGAGUUGACCAUGAGCAUAGACUUGCAUGGGGAAUUUUAACAUAGCUGUUGUCCUCAUCACCUUUUUAGCUGGUCUGGGCUCCUUCAUAUUGAAUAGAUCAAUCCAUUACUAAGGGAGACGAGAGAAGAUUCAAACAUCCUGCUCUUUGGGUUUACAUUUCAUUCUUGCAUUUGCCUGUGGGAACUACACAUGUUAAAAGGAAAUCCUCAUGCUGUCAGAUCACAAGAAUCUGAAAUGCCUUUAGCUGCUCUCUCUCCACCGAGUGGAUCCAUUCUAGAGGCCUCCUAUAGUGAUUGCUAAGAUCACUGGGUUUCACCCUCCAAUGAAGCCACAGUACAAUACUGUAACCCUGCCUGGUUUGGUGGGAAAACAACACUAAUUAAAUAAAAGAGCAUCAAUUCUACAUGUCAUGCACAAGUUGCAUCUGAGACCUCUUUUUCAGCUUUCAGACCUGACAUCCAUCCCAAAACCACUGGCGGGAGGGGGAGGGUAGGUGAGCAGUGUUUCUGGGCUUUGGGCUGCAUGUGGAAAUUACCUGAGAGCUUUGAAAUUCCUGAUGCCUAGUUCCCACUCCCAACAAUUCUGUUCUAUUUGGUCUAAGCCUCGGUCUAGACACAGGGAUGUUUAAAAACAAAUAAAAGAAGAAAUUAGUAUCUGCUUGUAUUUAAUAUGUGGACUGAGGUGAUCAAAUGUCCCAGUAUGCCCCAGAGGAAAGGAGUUCCUGGAACACAGGACUUUCUUUCCCUUUUAAAAAAAACAAAAAUUGUUAAAGUUGAUUUACAAUAUUCUGUUCAUUUCUGCUGUAUAGCAAAGUGACCCAGUCAUAUUGUAUAUAUACAUUAUUUUUCUCAUACUAUCUUUCAUCAUGUUCCAUCCCAAGAGACUGGGUAUAGUUCCCUGUGCUGCACAGUGGGACUCCAUUGCUUAUCCAUUCUAAAUGUAAUAGUUUGCAUCUACCAACCCCCAAAUCCCCGUCCACCCCGCUACCCUCCUCCACCUUGGCAACCACAAGUUUGUUCUCUAUGUCUGUGCAUCUGUUUCUGUGCUGUAGAUAGGUUCAUAUAUGUAAUAUUUUACAUUCCACAUAUAAGUGAUAUCAUAUGGUAUUUGUCUUUCUUUUUCUGACUUACUUCACUUAGUAUGAGAAUCUCUAGUUGCAUCUAUGUUGCUGCAAGUGGCAUUAUUUUGUUCUUUUUUAUGGAUGAGUAGCAUUCCAUUGCAUAUAUGUACCCCAGCUUCUUAAUCCAUUCACCUGUCAAUGGACAUUUAGGUUGUUUCAGAACACAGGACUUUCAAUGCUAAAUCCCGGAAAGUCCCAGGCAAACAGGACAAAUGGGUCACCCAACAAGGAUCAAUGCUAGAGCUGCCUCUUGGUAAUGUGUGAUCCGUGGUUUUGAAGGAGUCCCUGGGGACAAGAGGAAGGAAGUUACACUUGGGAGGAAGGGUGAGGGUGGUGCCCUCACUCAGAUUGUUCAUUUCCACCAUCGUACAGCCACAGUUGAAGUUUACAUGGGGCAUUAUUGGUGUGAUUAAUUUUAACUGUCAAACUUAAAAAUAUAUUAUCUGGAGUUCCUGUCAGGGCUCAGUGAGAACAAAUCUGACUAGCAUCCAUGAGGAUGCAAAUUCCAUCUCUGGCCUUGCUCAGUGGGUUAAGGAUCAGCGUUGCCCUGAGCUGUGGUGUAGGUCACAGACAGGCUCGGAUCUGGCAUUGCUGUGGCUGUGGCAAAGCCAGUGGCUACAGCUCCAAUUCGAUCCCUAGCCUGGAAACCUCCAUGUGCCUUGGGUGUGGCCCCAAAAAGACAAAUAUAUAUACAUAUAUGUAUACAUGUAUGUACAUAUAUUAUAAUUUAUUUUUAAAAAAUGCAAUAAUAUGAAAUUUUCUGAUCUUUUUUGGUUGAAAAGUUGAUGGUCCCAAAUAUGCUACCUGUAGAUGUUUUUAAGUAAUAAACACAAUUUGCAUUUAAUCCAGCCCACCAAGGUAUACAUGACAUUUUAAUGGUACUUUUAGAAACUCAAUGAAUGGGGAAAACAUUUAGAAAGUGGAAAUCCAGUGAUUGUUUAGAAAUGUUUCCACCACUAUGUGAUAUUUUUACUAACAACAAUGUAGGUAUGGGUCACCUAUAAAAACUCCUAUAUACAACCCAUUGUAUAUAAAAAUAGGUAAUCAACACAGACCUACUGUAUAGCACAAGGAACUAUAUCAACAUUUUGUAAUAAUCUAUAAAGGAAAAGAAUCUGAAAAAGAAUGUACAUAAUAUUAAUAUAUAAUAUUCAGUUUAUAUAUAUUAGUGAUAUUAGCUAUAAUAUUAUAUAUAAUAUUCAGAUAUAUGCAUAUUCAUUUAUAUAUGUACAUAUAUAAAAACUGGAUCACGUUGCUGUACACCUGAAACUAACACAUUGUAAAUUAACAAUAUUCAAUAAAAAAUAAAUACAAGUUUAAAAAAAAUUUACCCUUUUUUUGAAAAGUAGAAUUUUUAGUUUGUUUACAAUUUCCAGAGUUCCCAUAGUGGCUCAGCAGAAAAAAAUCUGACUAGCAUCCAUGAGAACGCAGAUUUGAUCCCUGGCCUUGCUCAGUGGGUUUAGGAUCUGGCAUUGCCGUUAGCUGUGGUGUAGGUCACUGACAUGGGUUGGAUCUGGCAUUUCUGUGGCUGACAUGUAGGCCAGCACCUGCAACCUCCAUAUGCCUCAGGUGCAUCCC
rnacentral:lncRNA from 1 species